rnacentral:rRNA from 1 species
GAUGAACGCUGGCGGCGUGCCUAAUACAUGCAAGUCGAGCGAACAGACGAGGAGCUUGCUCCUCUGACGUUAGCGGCGGAAGGGUGAGUAACACGUGGAUAACCUACCUAUAAGACUGGGAUAACUUCGGGAAACCGGAGCUAAUACCGGAUAAUAUAUUGAACCGCAUGGUUCAAUAGUGAAAGACGGUUUUGCUGUCACUUAUAGAUGGAUCGGCGCCGCAUUAGCUAGUUGGUAAGGUAACGGCUUACCAAGGCAACGAUGCGUAGCCGACCUGAGAGGGUGAUCGGCCACACUGGAACUGAGACACGGUCCAGACUCCUACGGGAGGCAGCAGUAGGGAAUCUUCCGCAAUGGGCGAAAGCCUGACGGAGCAACGCCGCGUGAGUGAUGAAGGUCUUCGGAUCGUAAAACUCUGUUAUUAGGGAAGAACAAAUGUGUAAGUAACUAUGCACGUCUUGACGGUACCUAAUCAGAAAGCCACGGCUAACUACGUG